UGGAGGAACCACAGGGGGAAGGCGGCUUAAUGGUUCAUUAAUGAGCUUAGGUGCGAAAGCGUUGGGAACAAACAAGAUUAAAUACCCUGGUAGUUCCAGCCGGAAACGAUGAAUGUUAGCCGUCGGGCAGUAUAAUGUUUGGUGGCGCAGCUAAAGCCUUAAACCAUCCCGCCUGGGGAGUACGGUUCGCAAGAAUAAAAAUUAAAGGAAAUGGCGGGGGCCCCCACCAACGGGGGAGCCAGUGGUUUUAUUUCGGAAGAAACGGGCAGAACCUUACCAAGUUUUUGCCUUUCGGGGGAAGGGGCCAUUGGAGGACGAAUGUCCUUUCAGGUUAGGGCUGGCCCCCAGAAACAGGUUGCUGCAUGGGCUGUCGUUCAGCUCGUGUUCGUGAAGAUGUUGGGGUAAAUUCCCCGCAAACGAGGCGCAAACCCUUCGCCCCUUUAGUUGCCCAGCAUUUAGUUGGGGCACUCUAAGGGGGACUGCCCGGUGAUAAGCCGAGAGAAAGUGGGGGAUGACGUCAAGUCCUCAUGGCCUUUACGGGCUGGCUACACACGUGCUACAAUGGUGGUGACAGUGGGCAGCGAGACAGCGAUGUCGAGCUAAUCUCCAAAAGCCAUCUCAGUUCGGAUUGCACUCUGCAACUCGAGUGCAUGAAGUUGGAAUCGCUAGUAAUCGCAGAUCAGCAUGCUGCGGUGAAUACGUUCCCGGGCCUUGUACACACCGCCCGUCACACCAUGGGAGUUGGUUUACCCGAAGGUAGUGCGCUAACCGCAAGGAGGCAGCUAACCACGUAGGUCAGCGACUG
rnacentral:rRNA from 1 species